rnacentral:rRNA from 1 species
AGGAAUAUUGGUCAAUGGACGCAAGUCUGAACCAGCCAUGCCGCGUGCAGGAAGACGGCUCUAUGAGUUGUAAACUGCUUUUGUACGAGAGUAAACGCUCUUACGUGUAAGAGCCUGAAAGUAUCGUACGAAUAAGGAUCGGCUAACUCCGUGCCAGCAGCCGCGGUAAUACGGAGGAUCCAAGCGUUAUCCGGAUUUAUUGGGUUUAAAGGGUGCGUAGGCGGUUUGAUAAGUUAGAGGUGAAAUACCGGUGCUUAACACCGGAACUGCCUCUAAUACUGUUGAACUAGAGAGUAGUUGCGGUAGGCGGAAUGUAUGGUGUAGCGGUGAAAUGCUUAGAGAUCAUACAGAACACCGAUUGCGAAGGCAGCUUACCAAACUAUAUCUGACGUUGAAGCACGAAAGCGUGGGGAGCAAACAGGAUUAGAUACCCUGGUAGUCCACGCAGUAAACGAUGAUAACUCGCUGUCGGCGAUACACAGUCGGCGGCUAAGCGAAAGCGAUAAGUUAUCCACCUGGGGAGUACGUUCGCAAGAAUGAAACUCAAAGGAAUUGACGGGGGCCCGCACAAGCGGAGGAACAUGUGGUUUAAUUCGAUGAUACGCGAGGAACCUUACCCGGGCUUGAAAGUUACUGACGAUUCUGGAAACAGGAUUUCCCUUCGGGGCAGGAAACUAGGUGCUGCAUGGUUGUCGUCAGCUCGUGCCGUGAGGUGUCGGGUUAAGUCCCAUAACGAGCGCAACCCCUACCGUUAGUUGCCAUCAGGUCAAGCUGGGCACUCUGGCGGGACUGCCGGUGUAAGCCGAGAGGAAGGUGGGGAUGACGUCAAAUCAGCACGGCCCUUACGUCCGGGGCUACACACGUGUUACAAUGGUAGGUACAGAGGGCAGCUACCCAGUGAUGGGAUGCGAAUCUCGAAAGCCUAUCUCAGUUCGGAUCGGAGGCUGAAACCCGCCUCCGUGAAGUUGGAUUCGCUAGUAAUCGCGCAUCAGCCAUGGCGCGGUGAAUACGUUCCCG